CCUACGGGUGACAGCAGUCGAGAAUCAUUCACAAUGGGGGAAACCCUGAUGGUGCGACGCCGCGUGGGGGAAUGAAGGUCUUCGGAUUGUAAACCCCUGUCAUGUGGGAGCAAAUUAAAAAGAUAGUACCACAAGAGGAAGAGACGGCUAACUCUGUGCCAGCAGCCGCGGUAAUACAGAGGUCUCAAGCGUUGUUCGGAAUCACUGGGCGUAAAGGGUGUGUAGGCUGUUUCGUAAGUCGUGUGUGAAAGGCGCGGGCUCAACCCGCGGACGGCACAUGAUACUGCGAGACUAGAGUAAUGGAGGGGGAACCGGAAUUCUCGGUGUAGCAGUGAAAUGCGUAGAUAUCGAGAGGAACACUCGUGGCGAAGGCGGGUUCCUGGACAUUAACUGACGCUGAGGCACGAAGGCCAGGGGAGCGAAAGGGAUUAGAUACCCUAGUAGUC
rnacentral:rRNA from 1 species